rnacentral:lncRNA from 1 species
CGGCGGCGGCGGCGUGAGAAAGAACAGCAUGGCGGAGGAGAGAUCCCGCUGAAUCCACUGCUCGACCUCGGCCAUUCCAAAUCGCUGGAGCUCCAGGACGUCCCUAGAUUUCGUUCAGCGUCUGGCAAGGAUCUCCGUCUCCUCCUGGUGCUCGUAAGAACCAUAGCGCUCAUGUCUUCGUGCGCCCCAAAGGGACUCUUCGGCUUCGUGGAGCUUCCAGGCUUGCGAGAAGCAGCCCCGGCUCGCGAAUUCGGCCAGCAUCCAGAUGCCUACCAGUCGCCUCGCAGACGAAUUUCAUGGUCGUGCAGGACAAGCGGUUGAGGGAUCCUCAUCAGCAUGAAGAUCAUCAAGCUCCAGGCGUGGAGCACCGGGAGGAGGAGCUGGGAUCCCAAGCUACACUUUCUCGGUGAUCAUCGAGGUGGGUUCUUGUGUUUCUGUCCUUUAGAUUUCUAAGGACAGUAAGAUAGUCGAAUCGAUUCGAUGGCCGCGGCCUCGAGCAAGCGAGCGCCCGCAAGGAUUGUAUCGCAUUUCAAU